GACGAACGCUGGCGGCGUGCCUAAUACAUGCAAGUCGAACGCUUUGAUUUUCACCGGAGCUUGCUCCACCGAAAAUCGAAGAGUGGCGGACGGGUGAGUAACACGUGGGCAACCUGCCCAACAGAGGGGGAUAACACUUGGAAACAGGUGCUAAUACCGCAUAAUUUGUUUUUCCGCAUGGAAGAAUAAUAAAAGACGCUUCGGUGUCACUGUUGGAUGGGCCCGCGCUGCAUUAGUUAGUUGGUGGGGUAACGGCCUACCAAGACCAUGAUGCAUAGCCGACCUGAGAGGGUGAUCGGCCACACUGGGACUGAGACACGGCCCAGACUCCUACGGGAGGCAGCAGUAGGGAAUCUUCGGCAAUGGACGAAAGUCUGACCGAGCAACGCCGCGUGAGUGAAGAAGGUUUUCGGAUCGUAAAACUCUGUUGUUAGAGAAGAACAAGUGAGAGAGUUACUGUUCUCACCUUGACGGUAUCUAACCAGAAAGCCACGGCUAACUACGUGCCAGCAGCCGCGGUAAUACGUAGGUGGCAAGCGUUGUCCGGAUUUAUUGGGCGUAAAGCGAGCGCAGGCGGUUUCUUAAGUCUGAUGUGAAAGCCCUCGGCUCAACCGAGGAAGGUCAUUGGAAACUGGGGAACUUGAGUGCAGAAGAGGAGAGUGGAAUUCCAUGUGUAGCGGUGAAAUGCGUAGAUAUAUGGAGGAACACCAGUGGCGAAAGCGACUCUCUGGUCUGUAACUGACGCUGAGGCUCGAAAGCGUGGGGAGCAAACAGG
rnacentral:rRNA from 1 species